CCGAACGUAUCUAAAUUGUGGACUAUUUUGAGUUUGCUUCGCAACGUUUCAAUUUAUUUGAUUCGAGUCAGUUAACGGUAAUUUGAGAAAUGAGGUAAGUAUAAAUGAGUUUUGACCGGUUAAAACACCCAAAAAAAACUAAAAAAAGAAAAAGAACGAGAGAGGUAUAUUUUAAUCCCAAAAACAUAGAAAAUUUAUCUAAACAAUGAACUAUUUUGAGUUAGUUAUUCAAUUUUUAAAUCUAUUUAGUUUAAGCCAGUCAACAACACUUUGGACUUGAAAUUGAAUGUGUCGUUUAUCUUUAUAAGUUUAGUUAUUAUCCUUCAUAUAAUUAUUACAGCUAUAAAUUUAAAAAUAAAUAAUUAGCUGAAAUUUUAAAGUUAAAAUGUCGUUAACUAGCUCAAAACUAAAUAAAUUAAAAAUCUAGAUAGUAAAAUUAAAAUUUA
rnacentral:lncRNA from 1 species